UACAGAGGGUGCGAGCGUUAAUCGGAAUUACUGGGCGUAAAGCGCACGUAGGCGGCUUGGGAUGUCGGGUGUGAAAUCCCCGGGCUCAACCUGGGAACUGCAUCCGAAACUGCCUUGCUCGAGUAUGGGAGAGGGAAGUGGAAUUUCCGGUGUAGCGGUGAAAUGCGUAGAUAUCGGAAGGAACAUCAGUGGCGAAGGCGACUUCCUGGACCAAUACUGACGCUCAGGUGCGAAAGCGUGGGGAGCAAACAGG
rnacentral:rRNA from 1 species